rnacentral:rRNA from 1 species
UACGUAGGGGGGCAAGCGUUUGUCCGGAUUUAUUGGGCGUAAAGAGCGUGUAGGCGGCCAGAUAAGUCCGCUGUGAAAUCUCGAGGCUCAACUUCGAGCUGUCGGUGGAAACUGUCUGGCUAGAGUCCGGAAGAGGAGAAUGGAAUUCCUGGUGUAGCGGUGAAAUGCGCAGAUAUCAGGAAGAACACCCGUGGCGAAGGCGGUUCUCUGGGACGGUACUGACGCUGGAGACGCGAAAGCGUGGGGAGCGAACAGG